rnacentral:rRNA from 1 species
GACGAACGCUGGCGGCGUGCUUAACACAUGCAAGUCGAGCGGAAAGGCCCUUUCGGGGGUACUCGAGCAGCGAACGGGUGAGUAACACGUGAGUAAUCUGCCCCUGGCUUUGGGAUAGCCACCGGAAACGGUGAUUAAUACCGGAUACGACCACUUCUCGCAUGGGAUGGUGGUGGAAAGUUUUUCGGCCAGGGAUGUGCUCGCGGCCUAUCAGCUUGAUGGUGAGGUAAUGGCUCACCAUGGCUUCGACGGGUAGCCGGCCUGAGAGGGUGACCGGUCACCCUGGGACUGAGACCCGGCCCAGACUCCUACGGGAGGCAGCAGUGGGGAAUAUUGGACAAUGGGCGGAAGCCUGAUCCAGCAACGCCGCGUGAGGGAUGACGGCCUUCGGGUUGUAAACCUCUUUCAGCAGGGACGAAGCGCAAGUGACGGUACCUGCAGAAGAAGCGCCGGCCAACUACGUGCCAGCCGCCGCCGUAA